ACUCCAUGAUGAGGGCACUUUCGUAAUAAUUCUUUGUACCUUUCCCAUGCCUCAAAUAAAGACUCGUCAUCUAUUUGUUGGAAAGUAGUGAUCUCGUUCCUCAACUU
rfam:Gossypium arboreum cultivar AKA8401 contig_6499_1, whole genome shotgun sequence.